UACAGAGGGUGCAAGCGUUGUUCGGAAUUACUGGGCGUAAAGCGCGUGUAGGUGGCGAUGUAAGUCGGGUGUGAAAUCCCUCGGCUCAACUGAGGAAGUGCACUCGAUACUGUGUCGCUUGAGUGUUGGAGGGGAUGGCGGAAUUCCCGGUGUAGAGGUGAAAUUCGUAGAUAUCGGGAGGAACACCUGUGGCGAAGGCGGCCAUCUGGACAACUACUGACACUGAGACGCGAAAGCCGGGGGAGCAAACAGG
rnacentral:rRNA from 1 species